GACGAACGCUGGCGGCGUGCUUAACACAUGCAAGUCGAACGGAAAGGCCCUGCUUUUGUGGGGUGCUCGAGUGGCGAACGGGUGAGUAACACGUGAGUAACCUGCCCUUGACUUUGGGAUAACUUCAGGAAACUGGGGCUAAUACCGGAUAGGAGCUCCUGCUGCAUGGUGGGGGUUGGAAAGUUUCGGCGGUUGGGGAUGGACUCGCGGCUUAUCAGCUUGUUGGUGGGGUAGUGGCUUACCAAGGCUUUGACGGGUAGCCGGCCUGAGAGGGUGACCGGCCACAGUGGCACGGAGACACGGACCAGACGCGUCAGGGGGGGAGGGUUGUGGGAUGGGGAGUUAGGGGGGGAGGUCUGCGGCAGCGCGGCGGGGGGGGUGCUGGCGGCCGUCGUGCUCUAAGCCGCUUCGGCGUGGGACGGAGGGGAAGGGCUGGUGAGGGGAAAAGAAGCCCCGGUUGAGUCGGGGCCGGGAGCGGCGGUAGGAGAGGGAGGGCAGCCGCCUGAAU
rnacentral:rRNA from 1 species